UACGAAGGGUGCUAGCGUUGUUCGGAAUUACUGGGCGUAAAGCGCGCGUAGGCGGCGUUUCAAGUCAGGGGUGAAAUCCUGGGGCUCAACCCCAGAAUUGCCUUUGAAACUGUGACGCUGGAGUGUCGGAGGGGAUAGCGGAAUUGCUAAUGUAGAGGUGAAAUUCGUAGAUAUUAGCAGGAACACCGGUGGCGAAGGCGGCUAUCUGGACGACAACUGACGCUGAGGCGCGAAAGCGUGGGGAUCAAACAGG
rnacentral:rRNA from 1 species